ACAGCUCAGUAACACGUGGACAACCUACCCAAAGGUCUGGGAUAACUCCGGGAAACUGGGGAUAAUACCGGAUAGGUCAAGAGUACUGGAAGGGUUUUUUGAUUGAAAGCUCUGGCGCCUUUGGAUGGGUCUGCGGCUGAUUAGGUUGACGCCGGUGUAAAGUACCGGCGUGCCGAUUAUCAGUACGGGUUGUGGGAGCAAGAGCCCGGAGAUGGAUUCUGAGACACGAAUCCAGGCCCUACGGGGCGCAGCAGGCGCGAAAACUCUACAAUGCAGGCAACUGCGAUAGGGGAACAUCGAGUGGCAUCUACAUUAGGUGUCUGUCCAGCUGUCUAAAAAACGGCUGUUAGCAAGGGCCGGGCAAGACCGGUGCCAGCCGCCGCGGUAAUACCGGCGGCUCGAGUGGUGGCCGAUAUUAUUGAGUCUAAAGGGUCCGUAGCCGGCUUUGCAAGUCUUGUGGGAAAUCCAGCGGCUUAACCGUUGGGCGUCUGCGGGAUACUACAUUGCUUGGGACUGGGAGAGGUAGGAGGUACUCAGGGGGUAGGAGUGAAAUCCUGUAAUCCUCUGGGGACCACCGGUGGCGAAGGCGUCCUACCAGAACAGGUCCGACGGUGAGGGACGAAAGCUAGGGGCACGAACCGGAUUAGAUACCCGGGUAGUCCUAGCCGUAAACGAUGCCCGCUAGGUGUCACGGCAGUCGUGAACUGCCGUGGUGCCGUAGGGAAGCCGUGAAGCGGGCCACUUGGGAAGUACGACCGCAAGGUUGAAACUUAAAGGAAUUGGCGGGGGGGCAC
rnacentral:rRNA from 1 species